GUAGGUGGCAAGCGUUGUCCGGAAUUAUUGGGCGUAAAGCGCGCGCAGGCGGUUCUUUAAGUCUGAUGUGAAAGCCCACGGCUCAACCGUGGAGGGUCAUUGGAAACUGGAGAACUUGAGUACAGAAGAGGAAAGCGGAAUUCCACGUGUAGCGGUGAAAUGCGUAGAGAUGUGGAGGAACACCAGUGGCGAAGGCGGCUUUCUGGUCUGUAACUGACGCUGAGGCGCGAAAGCGUGGGGAGCAAACAGGGAUUAGAUACCCUGGUAGUCCACGCCGUAAACGAUGAGUGCUAAGUGUUAGGGGGUUUCCGCCCCCGUUAGUGCUGCAGCUAACGCAUUAAGCACUCCGCCUGGGGAGUACGGCCGCAAGGCUG
rnacentral:rRNA from 1 species